CGGGGAUGUGCGAUCUCCCCGUGAGGCGACAUGCCCAAGUAUCGC
rnacentral:ncRNA from 1 species